CCCGCACAAGCGGUGGAGCAUGUGGUUUAAUUCGACGCAACGCGAAGAACCUUACCAGGGCUUGACAUCCCCUGACCGCGUAUGAAGUACGUUUCACCCUCGGGUGACAGGGAGACAGGUGGUGCAUGGUUGUCGUCAGCUCGUGUCGUGAGAUGUUGGGUUAAGUCCCGCAACGAGCGCAACCCUUGUCAUUAGUUGCCAUCAUUUAGUUGGGCACUCUAAUGAGACUGCCGGUGACAAACCGGAGGAAGGUGGGGAUGACGUCAAGUCCUCAUGGCCCUUAUGGGUAGGGCUUCACACGUCAUACAAUGGUCGGUACAGAGGGUUGCCAAGCCGCGAGGUGGAGCCAAUCCCUUAAAGCCGAUCGUAGUCCGGAUCGUAGUCUGCAACUCGACUACGUGAAGUCGGAAUCGCUAGUAAUCGCAGAUCAGCAUGCUGCGGUGAAUACGUUCCCGGGUCUU
rnacentral:rRNA from 1 species